GGGGGGAUGACAGAGAGGCUAUGUGGCGGACUGCAGAUCCGCACACUCGGGUUCAAAUCCCGAUCCCCCCU
rnacentral:tRNA from 1 species